GGCGUAAAGAGUGGUUAAGGAAAACUUUAAACUAAAGCCGAAUAUUUUCAUGGCUGUUAUACGCAUCCGAAAGUAAGAAGUUCUACUACGAAAGUGGCUUUAAUCUACCUGACCCCACGAAAGCUGUGAAACAAACUGGGAUUAGAUACCCCACUAUGCACAGCCCUAAACUUUGAUAGUCAAGUACACCCACUAUCCGCCCGGGUACUACAAGCCCUAGCUUAAAAUCCAAAGGACUUGGCGGUGCUUUAGAUCCACCUAGAGGAGCCUGUCCUAGAACCGACAACCCCCGUUAAACCUCACCCUCCCUUGUUUAUUUCCCGCCUAUAUACCGCNGUCGUCAGCUUACCUGUGAAGAUUAAUAGUAAGCAAGACCAGCACAGCUCAAAACGCCAGGUCGAGGUGUAGCGCAUGAGAGGGGAAGAGAUGGGCUACAUUCCCUAACCCAGGUAAUACGAAAAAUGCAAUGAAAAAAGCAUUAGAAGGAGGAUUUAGCAGUAAGAAGAAAACAGAGUGUUCUAAUGAAA
rnacentral:rRNA from 1 species